AUGAACCAGCUGCAGGAACAGCCCAUGCGGCCAUGGCUCUUCCUCCCCUUGCGCCUACGGAGAGUGGGACUCACCUUCCGGCGGCUUCCCCUCCACCGAGUAGACUUCCGUGGCGGGUGGCGGCGCGUACAUCACCUGACGGAAUGGCGGCAUGGAGCGCGGGACGCCGUAGACGCCACCGACGCCCCCAGACGAGUAGAGAUCUCCCGGGGCUUCGUUUCUCCCCCCACCGACAAUGUGGUAAACCGGCCCGGGCAUGUAGCCGCCGUGCCCAGCCGCGUCGAGGUAGUGGACCGGGCGAACAGGCACGUAGUACACCGGCUGCCCCAUGUACGGUGGCGGCGGGGCCGGCCACGGGGCGCUCUCCGGGACGUAUGGCACCAGAGGAGCGCCCAGCACGGGAGCCGGCGCGUCGUCGUCGUCGUCGCCUUGCGCCACCUCCGCGUCAGACUUGGGCUGCGCGCCCGCGCCGGGGCUGGGCUCCUCGGAGGUCGUGUCGAAGCCGAAGAGGUAGUCCGGGACCUCCGAGACGAUCGAGGAGGCCUCGGAUCGGCCGCGCUCGAUGGAACCGGGCGGCGGGGCAUUGAGCUGGUCGACGAACCACUGGUCGGAGGAGGCGUCGCCGACGCCGGAGAGCACGGAGCCGAACGCGCCCGCAGGGGAGUGGUCCGGCGAGGCGGCGAAGAGGAAGAGGCGCAGGCGGGGCGGCUUGAUGGCGGUGGCGGCGAGGCUGUGGACGCGGUCGAGCUCCUCCAUGAGGUUGUCGACGUCGUCGUCGGAGGAGACGGAGAUGAGCGCGUCGAGGUCGUCGUGCGGGAGCUGGUACCGGAGCGCCGGGGUGGGCUCGCCGGGGACGAAGAGCGCGGGGGCGAGCUUGGCGAGCGCGGCGAAGAGGACGGCGUGGGAGGUGGUGCGCGGGACGGAGACGAUGCGGGUCUCGCCGCCGACGUAGCGGAGCUGGUGGUCACCCGGGCGCGGCAGGAUGCGGCCGCCGAAGCUGCACAUGAGGCGCACGAACGCGGCCCCGUGCGGCUGCGCACGCGGAGGAGGCGGGUGGUGGUGGCCGCCGCCGCCGCCGUUGCCGUUGCUGCUGAUGGUGCUGCCGGCCCCGGCGCGGGGGGUGGAGGUGGCCGAGGAGGCGUCGUGGUGGUGCGACGACGAUGA
rnacentral:rRNA from 1 species